rnacentral:rRNA from 1 species
UGGGGAAUCUUAGACAGUGGGGGAAACCCUGAUCUAGCCAUGCCGCGUGAGUGACGAAGGCCUUAGGGUCGUAAAGCUCUUUCGCCAGGGAUGAUAAUGACAGUACCUGGUAAAGAAACCCCGGCUAACUCCGUGCCAGCAGCCGCGGUAAUACGGAGGGGGUUAGCGUUGUUCGGAAUUACUGGGCGUAAAGCGCACGUAGGCGGACUAUUAAGUCAGGGGUGAAAUCCCGGGGCUCAACCCCGGAACUGCCUUUGAUACUAGGUAGCUAGAAUACUGGAGAGGUGAGUGGAAUUCCGAGUGUAGAGGUGAAAUUCGUAGAUAUUCGGAAGAACACCAGUGGCGAAGGCGACUCACUGGACAGUUAUUGACGCUGAGGUGCGAAAGCGUGGGGAGCAAACAGGAUUAGAUACCCCCG